rnacentral:rRNA from 1 species
CCUACGGGUGGCAGCAGUGGGGAAUAUUGGACAAUGGGCGAAAGCCUGAUCCGGCCAUGCCGCGUGUGUGAAGAAGGCCUUCGGGUUGUAAAGCACUUUCAGUGGGGAAGAAAGCCUUGGGGCUAAUACCCUCGAGGAAGGACAUCACCCACAGAAGAAGCACCGGCUAACUCCGUGCCAGCAGCCGCGGUAAUACGGAGGGUGCGAGCGUUAAUCGGAAUUACUGGGCGUAAAGCGCGCGUAGGCGGUCUGAUAAGCCGGUUGUGAAAGCCCCGGGCUCAACCUGGGAACGGCAUCCGGAACUGUCAGGCUAGAGUGCAGGAGAGGAAGGUAGAAUUCCCGGUGUAGCGGUGAAAUGCGUAGAGAUCGGGAGGAAUACCAGUGGCGAAGGCGGCCUUCUGGACUGACACUGACGCUGAGGUGCGAAAGCGUGGGUAGCAAACAGGAUUAGAUACCCUAGUAGUC